rnacentral:rRNA from 1 species
ACAGCUCAAAUUUGAAAUCUGGCCCCCCGGGUCCGAGUUGUAAUUUGCAGAGGAUGCUUUUGGCGCGGUGCCUUCCGAGUUCCCUGGAACGGGACGCCAUAGAGGGUGAGAGCCCCGUACGGUUGGACACCAAGCCUGUGUAAAGCUCCUUCGACGAGUCGAGUAGUUUGGGAAUGCUGCUCAAAAUGGGAGGUAUAUUUCUUCUAAAGCUAAAUACCGGCCAGAGACCGAUAGCGCACAAGUAGAGUGAUCGAAAGAUGAAAAGCACUUUGAAAAGAGGGUUAAACAGCACGUGAAAUUGUUAAAAGGGAAGCGCUUGUGACCAGACUUGCGCCCGGUGAAUCACCCAGCUCUCGCGGCUGGGGCACUUUGCCGGCUCAGGCCAGCAUCAGCUCGCCGUCGGGGACAAAAGCUUCGGGAACGUAGCUCUCUUCGGGGAGUGUUAUAGCCCGCUGCACAAUACCCUUCGGCGGGCUGAG